rnacentral:rRNA from 1 species
AACGAACGCUGGCGGCAGGCUUAACACAUGCAAGUCGAGCGCCCCGCCAGGGGAGCGGCAGACGGGUGAGUAACGCGUGGGAACGUACCUUUUGGUUCGGAACAACUCCGGGAAACUGGAGCUAAUACCGGAUAAGCCCUAACGGGGAAAGAUUUAUCGCCGAAAGAUCGGCCCGCGUCUGAUUAGCUAGUUGGUGAGGUAACGGCUCACCAAGGCGACGAUCAGUAGCUGGUCUGAGAGGAUGAUCAGCCACACUGGGGCUGAGACACGGCCCAGACUCCUACGGGAGGCAGCAGUGGGGAAUAUCGGACAAUGGGCGCAAGCCUGAUCCAGCCAUGCCGCGUGAGUGAUGAAGGCCUUAGGGUUGUAAAGCUCUUUUGUCCGGGAAGAUAAUGACUGUACCGGAAGAAUAAGCCCCGGCUAACUUCGUG